rnacentral:tRNA from 1 species
GCGCCCGUAGCUCAAUUGGAUAGAGCGUUGGCCUCCGGAGCCAAAGGUUGGUGGUUCGAUCCCACUCGGGCGCG